rnacentral:rRNA from 1 species
AUGCGCGAGGACGGCUACCCCGACGACUGCCCUGGCUACCUCAUCGCCCUACGGGCAUCGCAGGCAGAAGCGGCGGCCGCGACGGCGGCGGCGGAGGCCAGAGAGGCCGCCGAGCUGCAGGCCGCACUGGACGUCGCGGCGGCUAUGGCGGCGGCAGCAGAGGCCGCCGAGCUGCAGGCCGCACUGGAUGCGGCGGCGGGUAUCGGUGCGGUGCAGGCGCCGGCGCAGGCGGCUCCGGUGGAGGACGACGCCGGCAAGAGUAGCGACGACGACGACGGUGACGGUUGUGCGGGCGAGAUCGUGGACCUCGCCGCCUCCGACUCCGACUCGGCCAUGUUAGGGAAUGGCCACGUGGAAACCUAG